AUAAUUAGGUUACCUCUCAGGCUAAGGGGAGGAGAUGUGUGGGAUGUAACCAUUGUGUGAUUGGGUAUUGAAUAAUUGUCCGUGGGCGUCGCCCUUGCAUGGGAGAAUUGCAUAAAAGCAGAGUGUGUGUCAUUAAACCAGAGUUCUACUUCACCCUCAAUCUAGAGUCUUGUCGCUUAUUGGGGGAAUUGCUAUGCUCUG